rnacentral:rRNA from 1 species
UGGCGGCAGGCCUAACACAUGCAAGUCGAACGGCAGCACAGAAGAGCUUGCUCGUUGGGUGGCGAGUGGCGGACGGGUGAGUAACACGUAGGAAUCCUACCCAGUAGGUGGGGGAUAACCGUGGGGAAACCCAGGCUAAUACCGCAUACGCCCUGGAGGGGAAAGCGGGGGAUCUUCGGACCUCGCGCUAUUGGAUGAGCCUGCGUCGGAUUAGCUAGUUGGUGGGGUAAGGGCCCACCAAGGCGACGAUCCGUAGCUGGUCUGAGAGGAUGACCAGUCACACCGGAACUGAGACACGGUCCGGACUCCUACGGGAGGCAGCAGUGGGGAAUAUUGGACAAUGGGCGCAAGCCUGAUCCAGCCAUGCCGCGUGGGUGAAGAAGGCCUUCGGGUUGUAAAGCCCUUUAGGUGGGGAGGAAGGCAUUCAUGCUAAUACCAUGGAUGAUUGACGUUACCCACAGAAUAAGCACCGGCUAACUCCGUG